rnacentral:rRNA from 1 species
CAGCCGCCACGGUAAUACGAAGGGGGCCAGCGUUGCUCGGAAUGACUAGGCGUAAAGGGCGCGUAGGCGGCGAUCAAAGUCAGGCGUGAAAUUCCUGGGCUCAACCUGGGGGCUGCGUUUAAUACUUGAUUGCUAGAGUGGGGAAGAGGGUCGUGGAAUUCCCAGUGUAGAGGUGAAAUUCGUAGAUAUUGGGAAGAACACCGGUGGCGAAGGCGGCGACCUGGUCCUUGACUGACGCUGAGGCGCGAAAGCGUGGGGAGCAAACAGGAUUAGAUACCCGGUAGUCCCUGUCUCUUAUACA